UACGUAGGCAGCAAGCGUUGUUCGGAGUUACUGGGCGUAAAGAGUGCGUAGGCGGUGCCCUAAGUCUGUUGUGAAAUCUCCCGGCUUAACUGGGAGGGUGCGGUGGAAACUGGGGUGCUUGAGAGUGGGAGAGGUUAGCGGAAUUCCUGGUGUAGCGGUGAAAUGCGUAGAUAUCAGGAGGAACACCUGUGGUGUAGACAGCUUACUGGACCACUUCUGACGCUGAGACACGAAAGCGUGGGUAGCAAACAGG
rnacentral:rRNA from 1 species